rnacentral:rRNA from 1 species
UUCCCGCAGUGGUGCUCCCGCCGGCCCAGCAAACUGGCAGCUGCAUGCAUAGAGCAGAGCUAAGGGGGCGUACUAGGUACCGCCAAAAAUAUAUACAGCUACGCAGAGGGCAGGGUACGGCGCGCAAAGGUGCGUGGGCGAACGGAUUAAGGCGAACGAGAACUAAGUCAGAGGAGGAAAGAGAAGCAGAGGGAGGCAAAGCGGCACGGCCUUAAGCCAAACCCGAAGGAGCCAAGGGAGACUUGGACAAGAAGAACCUGACGAAGCGGAGGUACCUGUCGAUCGAGCAGGACGGCACUCUCGGGACGCCUAACUACCCCACGAAGCGGAAGUUCUCGCCGUUCCCGGCAGCCGCCGGCCGACCGCCGCCGUUCGGAGGCCGCCUCGGCUUCGGCCUGCCCGGCUUCGCCUCGUUCCGCAGGAGCAGCAGCCGCAGCUGCGGCUGCUCCUCGUAGGUCCUCGACAGCCUCCUCGCCCCGCGCCGCGCCGACGCGCACAAGCCCGACCUCCUCGAGCCGUCGCGGUGGUUGCCGAAGUCGGCGCGCGAGUUCUAGCCGCUCCCGCCGAAGCCGAGGCAGAUGGCGCGGAAGAAGGCGAGGCGGCGGCCGCCGGCGCAGCAGGAGCGGCAGUUCGCGGAGUUGGUCGCGUCGGACGUCCCCGUGUUCGUCACCGAACGGCUCCACGUCAAGGACCCGCAGGACCUCGUGGGCUUGGACCACUUCGAGCACCCGAUGACGCGCCACCUGAGCCUCCGCUCGUUCGUGGCCGACGACCACAUGCUCAAGUACGGGUUGUUCUGGGACCUGCUGGUGGAGAAGUCGGCUCGGGUGGGCGGCGAGGGGACCUCCUGCUCCGACGUCCAGUACCGGCCGCGGCGCGCGCCGGAGCUGAUGGAGGUGGCGCCGGAGGGCCUUCAGGUCCACUAUAUGUCCCUGAAGUUCCGCAGCUUGCACGACGACCUGCCGCUCAAGGCCGGCUUCGACAGCCUGAAGCCCGACCGCGCCCUCCCGGGCUGCCUCCCCGCCUGCGUGCACAGCUGCCGCCACCACCCGUGCGUGCCGAUGCGCCGCGGCCUGAUGUAGCUCUGCCCCGUGGAGUGCCACUUCUCGCUGCACACCCCCAAGCCCCACCACGACAUGCUCUAGGACUGCCCCGCCGCCAGCCACCUCGCGUCGGCCGGCCGCCUCCUCGUCUUCGACGACCCCACCCACGCGGCCGUGGGCGGGCCUCCCCUGUCGAAGUCCUGGUAGUACCUGGGCGCCGACCCGCCCGCCAUGGGCGACCGGCGGCGCGCGCUGCGCCGCUCCGACCGGCUGGCGACGGAGCCGUUCUUGGGGUUCCUCGCCGGCCGGUACCGCCUCCAGCACCUCCUCGAGCUCGCCCACGACGCCUACCUCGGCCGGGGCGGAGGCCGAGGCCGCUGUGGGUUCUCCACUGGCUCUACAUGAGCUACCUAGUCACUCCUGAGCGUGUCAAAGAGACGACGUAGGCGUCCACAUGAGGUACCUGCGACUGGCUCACUCUCAACAUAUCUGAUAUCUCUAUGGCGCUCUGUGCUUCCGCAUGCCAACCGCGCGGUGGCUAAUUCCACAGUAACGUAAACCAAUACGUGGUAACGGCGAUGGAUGCUAGUUCCACUUACGCCAAAGUACGUGGAGUUAAGAUCGAUCGUAGGGAGCGAGGGCACUUUGGGAUCCUCGAUCCCGCCGCCGUCGCCGCUGGAUGGAGGAGGGGCCACCCUAGUACUGGGGAAGAGGGAGGCGGGUGGCGAAUCCACUCCCUUCCCCGCGUCCGUGGGGGCGACAAAGUCUGGUUACCACCAUCCUACUCCUAAAAUCCCAUCUAAAGUCAGAGAUCAGUAUCCACCACUCGUAGCGGCAAUCGUACUUUAUUCAUAAGAAGUAGAGCAGGAGUAAGACAGCCACAAAGAAUCGUAGCAACUUCCGUACACCUCUCACCACACAGGGGUUUAGACCAAGAGACCCAUCAAACCGAGCCUACCGCGACAGAAUGUCUCGUCUACUGUGUCAACACGCAGAGAGGUCGAAAUCAAAACUGCCGCAUGGAUCACGGAAUAAAUGUGGAAGGGAACACAAAAGAAGAGGCCCUACUGAUAAUAUAAACCAUGUACCUAGUACCAACGUUCAUAGAAGACCAGAUGUAACUACUGAAAGGUUACCACCGAAGAUGUUCGAGUACUUAAAGUUGUUUAAACUAGAUGACUAUGCCUCCGGAUCUCCGCCGUUGUUCAAAACGUGCGUUACGAGGCCGCACCCACCUAUGUCCUCCUUUUACUGAAGUUAUAGGGUUCAUGAACCUACAUGGAAAAUUAAGUACAUUCCCACAAAGAACUCCCAGGCUGUUUCCCUAAUAUAAUUAUAACUCUUAUGGUU